rnacentral:misc_RNA from 1 species
GCUAAACGAUCAUUCUGACGAAUCUGAUGAAGCAAACCCAAGGCAUGAAAUUGUACAAGUGGUGCCCUUGACUGAACAGCUUCCUGGACCUCAUUACUCCAUCGCUUCACAAUCUCAGGAUUGGUCUGGAGUAAAUGAAUCCCACUAACCAAGGCUGCGCUAGCAACCACUGGGUUUUUGUCCACAAUUGCUUGUUUCAGAUACCGCUCAAUUUGGGUGAGAAGGGUACCAUCUGUAAUUCUACAAAGUACACGUAUAGCAUUAGCACGGUACAUAUCAUUCUUGCUGUUCAUGUCCUUCAUCAAGGAGCUUGUCACGAUGAUAACAUCAUCAGAAGAUGGAGAGAGCUCCUUUAUCAUUAAAUAAACCAUUCUCCUCAAUUCUAUAUCUCUGGACUGGAAGAGCUUAGUCACACCAAAGAACACUUCUGUAGCUUCAACCUGG